ensembl:lncRNA
CUGGGUUUCUCAUCACAGCGGCUUCUCUUGUGGUGGAGCACAGGCUCUAGGCGAGUGGCCUUCAGUAGCUGCAGCUCACAGGCUCUCCAGCACAGGCUCAAUAGUCCGGUGCACGGGCUUAGCUGCUCCACAGCAUGUGGAAUCUUCUGAGACCGGAGAUUGAACCCUGUUCCCUUCAUUGGCAGGAGACUGCAAAAGAAGGAAACAUAAAUGUCUAUUCUCUUUGUGACACAAGCUCGAUCCCUGAUGCUGGAAGAUCCCCCAUGCAGCGGAGCAACUAAGCCCAGGCACCACAGCUAUUGAGCCUGUGCCGCAACUACUGAAGCCUGCAGGCCUAGAGCCUGUGCUCCAAAACAAGAGAAGCCACUGCAAUGAGAAGCCUUCGCAGCACAACUAGAGAGGAGCCCCCACUCAUCACAGCUAGAGAAGAACCCUUGUAGCAACAAAAACCCAGCACAGCCAAAAAUAAAUACAUAAUUUUUUUUAAAGAAAGUUAUAUUCUCUACUGUACUAAAAACCUGCAAUCUAGGAGAUAGGAGAUGAAUGAAACAUAACAAAGGCUUUAGAGUCUUAGCCUGUUUCCUUCUACUGCCAACACUGUGGCCUUGGACCUAUUGCGAAAC